rnacentral:rRNA from 2 species
AAAUAACAAUGAUUUCCCUAGUAACGGCGAGUGAAGAGGAAAGAGCUCAAAGUUGGAAACUGUUUGGCUUAGCUAAACCGUAUUGUAAACUGUAGAAACAUUUUCCUGGCACGCCGGAUUAAUAAGUCCUUUGGAACAAGGCAUCAUGGAGGGUGAGAAUCCCGUCUUUGAUCCGAGUAGUUGUCUUUUGUGAUAUGUUUUCAAAGAGUCAGGUUGUUUGGGAAUGCAGCCUAAAUUGGGUGGUAAAUCUCACCUAAAGCUAAAUAUUUGCGAGAGACCGAUAGCGAACAAGUACCGUGAGGGAAAGAUGAAAAGAACUUUGAAAAGAGAGUUAAACAGUAUGUGAAAUUGUUAAAAGGGAACCGUUUGGAGCCAGACUGGUUUGACUGUAAUCAACCUAGAAUUCGUUCUGGGUGCACUUGCAGUCUAUACCUGCCAACAACAGUUUGAUUUGGAGGAAAAAAUUAGUAGGAAUGUAGCCUCUCGAGGUGUUAUAGCCUACUAUCAUACUCUGGAUUGGACUGAGGAACGCAGCGAAUGCCAUUAGGCGAGAUUGCUGGGUGCUUUCGCUAAUAAAUGUUAGAAUUUCUGCUUCGGGUGGUGCUAAUGUUUAAAGGAGGAACACAUCUAGUAUA